GGGGGCAGGCUGUGUUUGUGUUCUACCUCAGUGUGUGUGAAGUGAUAAUGGCCAUGUACUGUUAUAAUCUGCAACCGGCACAGCCAGAAGAGGACUGACCCCUCAGUGUCUGGUUCCUCUCUAGAUUACUUCCUAGGUUCCUGCCUUUCUAGGGAGUUCUUCCUAGGUUCCUGCCUUUCUAGGGAGUUCUUCCUAGGUUCCUGCCUUUCUAGGGAGUUCUUCCUAGGUUCCUGCCUUUCUAGGGAGUUCUUCCUAGGUUCCUGCCUUUCUAGGGAGUUCUUCCUAGGUUCCUGCCUUUCUAGGGAGUUCUUCCUAGGUUCCUGCCUUUCUAGGGAGUUCUUCCUAGGUUCCUGCCUUUCUAGGGAGUUCUUCCUAGGUUCCUGCCUUUCUAGGGAGUUCUUCCUAGGUUCCUGCCUUUCUAGGGAGUUCUUCCUAGGUUCCUGCCUUUCUAGGGAGUUCUUCCUAGGUUCCUGCCUUUCUAGGGAGUUCUUCCUAGGUUCCUGCCUUUCUAGGGAGUUCUUCCUAGGUUCCUGCCUUUCUAGGGAGUUCUUCCUAGGUUCCUGCCUUUCUAGGGAGUUCUUCCUAGGUUCCUGCCUUUCUAGGGAGUUCUUCCUAGGUUCCUGCCUUUCUAGGGAGUUCUUCCUAGGUUCCUGCCUUUCUAGGGAGUUCUUCCUAGGUUCCUGCCUUUCUAGGGAGUUCUUCCUAGGUUCCUGCCUUUCUAGGGAGUUCUUCCUAGGUUCCUGCCUUUCUUGGGAGUUCUUCCUAGGUUCCUGCCUUUCUUGGGAGUUCUUCCUAGGUUCCUGCCUUUCUUGGGAGUUCUUCCUAGCCACCGUGCUUCUACAUCUGCAUCUUGCUGUUUGGGGUUUUAGUCUGGGUUUCUGUAUAAACACGAGGUGACAUCAGCUGAUGUAGAAAGGGCUUUAUAAAAACAUUUGAUUGAUAAUGAUCGCUCUGUGGUCUGAGUGUCGGUGUUUGGAGUGUGUGUGUCAGGGCCAGCUGUGUUUCCAUCUGGUGGUGGUAUGAGUGUGUGUGUGUGUGU